rnacentral:tRNA from 1 species
AAUGAAAUGCCUGAAAAAAGGAUUAUUUUGAUAGAAUAAAUCAUGUGAAUUUCACUUUCAUUA